GAUGAACGCUGGCGGCGUGCCUAAUACAUGCAAGUCGAGCGAAUGGAUUAAGAGCUUGCUCUUAUGAAGUUAGCGGCGGACGGGUGAGUAACACGUGGGUAACCUGCCCAUAAGACUGGGAUAACUCCGGGAAACCGGGGCUAAUACCGGAUAACAUUUUGAACCGCAUGGUUCGAAAUUGAAAGGCGGCCUCGGCUGUCACUUAUGGAUGGACCCGCGUUGCAUUAGCUAGUUGGUGAGGUAACGGCUCACCAAGGGCAACGAUGCGUGGCCGGCCUGAGAGGGUGAUCGGCCACACCGGGACUGAGACACGGCCCAGACUCCUACGGGAGGCAGCAGUAGGGAAUCUUCCGCAAUGGACGAAAGUCUGACGGAGCAACGCCGCGUGAGUGAUGAAGGCUUUCGGGUCGUAAAACUCUGUUGUUAGGGAAGAACAAGUGCUAGUUGAAUAAGCUGACACCUUGACGGUACCUAACCAGAAAGCCACGGCUAACUACGUGCCAGCCGCCGCGGUAA
rnacentral:rRNA from 1 species